rnacentral:rRNA from 1 species
UCGCUUGCCAGGGAACUACGAGCCCCAGCUUAAAACCCAAAGGACUUGGCGGUGCUUUAGACCCCCCUAGAGGAGCCUGUUCUAGAACCGAUAACCCCCGUUAAACCUCACCCCCUCUUGUUCUCCCCGCCUAUAUACCGCCGUCGUCAGCUUACCCUAUGAAGGACUAAUAGUGAGCGCAAUUGGUACAACCUAAAACGUCAGGUCGAGGUGUAGCGUAUGAGGGGGGAAGAAAUGGGCUACAUUCACUGGCCCAGUGAAAACGAACGAUGAUUUGAAACACCUAUCCGAAGGAGGAUUUAGCAGUAAGAGGGCAAUAGAGUGCCCCUC